rfam:Enhydrobacter aerosaccus strain CGMCC9176 contig_10, whole genome shotgun sequence.
CUUCCGCCUGCUGUGGCGCGAUAAAGUGAAUAUGGGUGUCAAUCCCGCCCGCGGUCAAAAUUUUGCCCUCACCUGCAAUAAUCUCGGUGCUUGCGCCAAUGGCGAUGGUGACAUUGGAUUGAAUAUCGGGGUUGCCCGCCUUGCCAAUCGCCCAAAUUCGGCUGUCUUUUAUCGCCACAUCGGCUUUAUAAAUCCCGGUAUAAUCCAAAAUAAGCGCGUUGGUAAUCACGGUGUCAGCCACUUCGGCAAACGGGCGCUGCCCUUGCCCCAUGCCGUCACGAAU